AUUGAACGCUGGCGGCAUGCUUUACACAUGCAAGUCGAACGGUAACAGGCCGCAAGGUGCUGACGAGUGGCGAACGGGUGCGUAAUGCAUCGGAACGUGCCCAGUCUUGUGGGAUAACUACUCGAAAGAGUAGCUAAUACCGCAUACGAUCUAUGGAUGAAAGCGGGGGACCGUAAGGCCUCGCGCGAUUGGAUCGGCCGAUGUCAGAUUAGGUAGUUGGUUGGGUAAAGGCUCACCAAGCCAACGAUCUGUAGCUGGUCUGAGAGGACGACCAGCCACAGGGGGAAUGAGAGAAGGAAGAGACGAAGACGGGAGGAAGAAGGGGGGAAUAUGGGACAAUGGGGGAAAGCAUGAUACAGCAAUGACGAGGGAAGGAAGAAGGAAUUAGGGUUGUAAAAUGCUAUUGUACGGAAAGAAAAGGAAGUGGUUAAUAAAAGGGGAUAAGGACGGUAAAGAAAGAAUAAGCAAGGGCUAACUAAGUG
rnacentral:rRNA from 1 species